rnacentral:rRNA from 1 species
AACGAACGCUGGCGGCAGGCCUAACACAUGCAAGUCGAACGGACCCUUCGGGGUUAGUGGCGGACGGGUGAGUAACACGUGGGAACGUGCCUUUAGGUUCGGAAUAGCUCCUGGAAACGGGUGGUAAUGCCGAAUGUGCCCUUCGGGGGAAAGAUUUAUCGCCUUUAGAGCGGCCCGCGUCUGAUUAGCUAGUUGGUGAGGUAAAGGCUCACCAAGGCUACGAUCAGUAGCUGGUCUGAGAGGAUGACCAGCCACAUUGGGACUGAGACACGGCCCAAACUCCUACGGGAGGCAGCAGUGGGGAAUCUUGCGCAAUGGGCGAAAGCCUGACGCAGCCAUGCCGCGUGGAUGAUGAAGGUCUUAGGAUUGUAAAAUCCUUUCACCGGUGAAGAUAAUGACUGUAGCCGGAGAAGAAGCCCCGGCUAACUUCGUGCCAGCCGCCGCAGUAAGAC